AGUGAACGCUGGCGGUAGGCCUAACACAUGCAAGUCGAACGGCAGCACAGAGGAGCUUGCUCCUUGGGUGGCGAGUGGCGGACGGGUGAGGAAUACAUCGGAAUCUACCUUGUCGUGGGGGAUAACGUAGGGAAACUUACGCUAAUACCGCAUACGACCCCACUACCGAGAGGUAUAAGCGAAGUAGGGAGUCGCAAGACCUUACGCGAUUGGAUGAGCCGAUGUCGGAUUAGCUAGUUGGCGGGGUAAAGGACCCACCAAGGCGACGAUCCGUAGCUGGUCUGAGAGGAUGAUCAGCCACACUGGAACUGAGACACGGU
rnacentral:rRNA from 1 species